GGUCACUAUUUUUCACCACUGAUGAAACGAACUCGAGAAAUCUUAUCCGGUACAGUUUGGCUGAGGGAGCUAUUCAUAGUAUCCAUGAUAAUCCAUCGGGAAUAGGAACACAUCUUGCUGUUGAUAGCGUGAACAAAACUGUAUACUGGAUUCUUUUUACGGCAGAGACGGCUUAUAAAAUAUACAAAACAACAUAUGAUGGUCAAACAUCACAGAUUGGAUCUGAUCAAACGGGAAGCGUUACCACUGUAGAUAUUGCAGAGGGGGAUGGAUACUUUUAUAUUCUUGAUUCAAUGGCGUCCGAAGUUAGCAAAUAUAAUAAAGCAACGGAGAUGGUAGUCAGCAC
rnacentral:lncRNA from 1 species